CUCAAAACUUUUGCCACUUUAGGAAAAACAGGCUGUGCUUCUGUAAUAAAAUUAUUUUGCACAAGCAGGCAGGUUGGUAUCAAUUUUUGCAACAUUCCAGGCCAUUGAGCAGCCAUCCCAAAGUACAAUGGCCUUAUUUAUCUCAUCGCCAGGUCUUUUUUGUUGUUAAAUUGGGUGCUUCAUCACCUUUCGGUGUUUUGACACUUACAGGUAAUAACUUCACAAUCCUUGGAAUUUUCCCAGACCCUCAUGGAAACACAGCCUGAGUAUAAAGGCACCCACCAAAAAUUUGCCAGCCCCCUUUCACAAAUGGCUUGUGCUGUUGACCACGAGCUGCUUCACCACGUCUCAGAAAGCCAAAACCAGCAGUAUGGAGCCGAUGGCCCAGGAGGCUGAUACCUCCAACACCCGUUGGCCCAACUGGAACAGGGAAGAACUGGAAGACUUAAUCAACAUUUGGUUAAGGCAAAGGACCAUAGGCUGGACAGUAGGAGGAAUAAGGCUGUUUAUGUCAAGAUCACAAAGGCAUGCAGGCAUGAGGGCACAAUUGUGACUGGACCCAGGUCUGGUGCAAGAUCAAGUCUCUGAGAUCAGCAUUUUACAGAGCCAAAGAUGUAAACUCUCAUUCUGAGGUGGGUCGCACAAUUGCCCCCUUCUAUGACAAGCUGUCCAUCAUUCUCUCCAGGGAUGACAACCCGGGUAUGGAGACUUUCAGCACCAGGGAUGGGAUGGAGGAAGCGGUGGCAGUAGCCCCUCCUGAGGGUGAAACCAUGAGCAUGUCUCAGCUGUAUGGAGACUGCUCCCUGAUGACUGUGAGUGACAGGAAGAACCAUUGAUCACCAUACACUUAGUGCCACUUAACCCCUCCAUUCCACGGGCUAGCACAGAUGAUGAAAUGGAGGAGGUGGAUGGUCAGGAAGAAACCCAUGCGACUGAUGCAUCAUCUACUGCUACCGAGACCCAAGAACAUGCUGGAUCUGCUAGCAUGGGCAGUGGCAGCCAUGGACCUGUUUCCGAAGUGAGUACUUGUAAGUUUUGGGCAGUACGAGUGGUGUCUCACUGUUGUGGGGUCUGUUUCUGUGCCUGCCGGCAUUUUGUGCACUACAUGGUGGGUGUAGGGGUAGGGGUAUGUACUUUUCUCCUCUUGUGAGGCAGGCAACCAUUGUUUUUUUCUUUAUCAGCCACCACAACCCAUAGCCACAGGGAACGGCACCCCGCUCGCACUAUAGCAGAGCACUGCAGAGAUUUUCGCAGCAAGCAAGGAUGGUCCCACGAAACAUUGCUCGAGGUUUUGGCAGAGUCGUCAGUAGCCAGAGUGGAACAUGCAGACGCCUGGUGGGAUGAACUCCAUAAGUUGCUGCAUAAGGAGGAUGCCAUCCUCGAGCAAGUGAGAGUCCCCAUGCAGAAUUUGAAAAACCUGGUCAAUGAGUCCCGUGUUGAAUUAUAGAGGUCACAGGACACUUUCAAUGAUGCCUUUCAGAGUGCGCAGAAGUACCUAAAUAAACAGGUACGAUGCCCGAAAGGGAAAAGCCGAUCCACUCAUCUUGCCUCUGUACAACACAAGUGGACAAUUACAGCUGAGCCUGUUCCCCCUAACUCAGUGAGGUCACAGGAAGCUGUAUGACUGCCAGCAGGGCACCACUACAUUUCAGGGAGAUGGGGGCAGUUCAGGGUCAUGGUGGGGUGAAGGCAAAGAAGCACAAGUAACUAUAAUAGUGUGUUGCAAACAAUAAAACCUCAUGGUUUCC